rnacentral:rRNA from 1 species
GAUGAACGCUGGCGGCGUGCCUAACACAUGCAAGUCGAACGAUGAUCGCAAGGUCAUAGUGGCGCACGGGUGAGGAACACGUAGCUGACCUGCCUCAAAGUGCGGGAUAACUCCCCGAAAGGGGUGCUAAUACCGCGUAAGCUCCCGCCCUUUAGAUGGGUGAGAGAAAAGGCCUUCGGGUCGCUUUGAGAGGGGGCUGCGGCGCAUCAGGUAGUUGGUGGGGUAACGGCCUACCAAGCCAACGACGCGUCGGGGGUCUGAGAGGAUGGCCCCCCACACUGGGACUGAGACACGGCCCAGACUCCUACGGGAGGCAGCAGUGGGGAAUUUUGGACAAUGGGCGCAAGCCUGAUCCAGCAAUGCCGCGUGCAGGAUGAAGGCCUUCGGGUUGUAAACUGCUUUUGUACGGAACGAAAAGCCCUGGGUUAAUACCCUGGGGUCAUGACGGUACCGUAAGAAUAAGCACCGGCUAAC